UAGGGAAUCUUCGGCAAAUGGACGGAAGUCUGACCGAGCAACGCCGCGUGAGUGAAGAAGGUUUUCGGAUCGUAAAGCUCUGUUGUAAGAGAAGAACGAGUGUGAGAGUGGAAAGUUCACACUGUGACGGUAUCUUACCAGAAAGGGACGGCUAACUACGUGCCAGCAGCCGCGGUAAUACGUAGGUCCCGAGCGUUGUCCGGAUUUAUUGGGCGUAAAGCGAGCGCAGGCGGUUAGAUAAGUCUGAAGUUAAAGGCUGUGGCUUAACCAUAGUACGCUUUGGAAACUGUUUAACUUGAGUGCAAGAGGGGAGAGUGGAAUUCCAUGUGUAGCGGUGAAAUGCGUAGAUAUAUGGAGGAACACCGGUGGCGAAAGCGGCUUUCUGGCUUGUAACUGACGCUGAGGCUCGAAAGCGUGGGGAGCAAACAGAUUAGAUACCCUGGUAGUCCACGCCGUAAACGAUGAGUGCUAGGUGUUAGACCCUUUCCGGGGUUUAGUGCCGCAGCUAACGCAUUAAGCACUCCGCCUGGGGAGUACAAGGCAAGGUUG
rnacentral:rRNA from 1 species